rnacentral:rRNA from 1 species
UACAGAGGUCUCAAGCGUUGUUCGGAUUCAUUGGGCGUAAAGGGUGCGUAGGCGGCAGCGCAAGUCAGGUGUGAAAUCCCGGGGCUCAACCCCGGAACUGCACUUGAUACUGCGUUGCUUGAGUACUGGAGAGGAGACUGGAAUUUACGGUGUAGCAGUGAAAUGCGUAGAUAUCGUAAGGAAGACCAGUGGCGAAGGCGAGUCUCUGGACAGUUACUGACGCUGAGGCACGGAAGGCCAGGGGAGCAAACGGG